rnacentral:tRNA from 1 species
GGGCAGAUGGCGGAAUGGCAGACGCGCUAGGCUUAGGACCUAGUUCCCGAUGAGGGAAUGCGGGUUCGAAUCCCGCUCUGCCCA